UAAUACGUAGGGUGCAAGCGUUAAUCGGAAUUAUUGGGCGUAAAGGGUGCGCAGGCGGUUGUAUAAGUCAGAUGUGAAAUCCCUGGGCUUAACCUAGGAAUUGCGUUUGAAACUAUAUGACUAGAGUGUGACAGAGGGGAGUGGAAUUCCAUGUGUAGCAGUGAAAUGCGUAGAGAUGUGGAAGAACACCGAUGGCGAAGGCAGCUCCCUGGGUUAACACUGACGCUCAUGCACGAAAGCGUGGGGAGCAAACAGG
rnacentral:rRNA from 1 species